CAGUGUGUGUGUGCUGGUGCUUGUCUUCAAUGUAUGUCUGCCAGUAUUUAUGUUCCUGUUGGUUCCACCCUGUUGUGGAUGGGGGCCCUUAAGUCUUGAGGUGGGGGUGAGGUUUUGGGUCCAGAAAUUGCUUUGACUACCCCUCUUUAGUAAUUGACAGUAGCACAUCAAAUCACUCUUGUACCCAAUUGUAUAUGAUAAAAAAUUCAAACAAACCAUCAGCACUCUGAGCAGUCUCAAGUCUGGAGUGCUCCCCAAAGGCCACCCUGAGAACUCCAGAGCAGCUUAUUCCAGCAGGAACAGGGGGAGGGGGCAGAGAAAGGCCUAACUGGAACCCUUAGCACGAUGUAACUGGGUACAACUUUUCUAUGAGGUCAGCCUUUUACCUGGCUUGUACCAAAAGUCCAUUGAGUCUAUAACUCCCACUACAUUUGGGUGCACUGUGGGUUGGCAAAGCCCCAUACAGGACUGCACCAUCUCCACUAUUCCUUCCUAUCACAUCCACCCAGGGGCACCAAGAUAUCAUCAUCCCUCCACUGGCUCUGCACACUCUACCACGUGCCCCUUCUCCAAGAUAACGGCAAGUCCUUCCUGAACAGAGGGCUUCUUCUCUUGGCCAGGAUAAACCAUGUCAGGACCUGGGACACUCUCAAGUGUCCACCCACCUGAAAUUACACUAACAGCACACACUCCCAACCUCACUGGAUCCCCAUCAUACCAGGCUACACCAACCAGGCACACGCUACCAUCAGGCCUCUGCAUCUAUGAUCAGACAAAUUGUUAUUGCUUUGGCUACCAGUGCCACCCAGUGGUCACUCUCAGGCCUCAUCUCAGUCAUCUUGAGAAGACUACACCCACCUCCCUGGAGAGAGUCCUUUCUGGGGUCCUGAUUUCACUGACACUGGCCAGAAAUGGCUCUAUUCUCACAUGGUCUCAGUUGGGCUCUCCCCAAGGGCGCUCAUUCCCACAGGUAUCUAGCUGGAGCCCCUAGUUUGCCUACUCCCUCAUCAAGCAGGUUCUUCCUAAGAUCUCUCUAUCCCACCUCAUUGAGGGGCAACCACUUGGCACUCAGUGCCUACCCAGCUCCUCUGUUCUCAUUCUUUUUAAAAAUUAAAUAUCAAUUUUAUAGAA